rnacentral:rRNA from 1 species
UCUACGGGCGGCAGCAGUGAGGAAUAUUGGUCAAUGGGCGGGAGCCUGAACCAGCCAAGUCGCGUGAGGGACGACGGUCCUAUGGAUUGUAAACCUCUUUUGUCGGGGAACAAAGGCGCCCACGGGUGGGCGGAUGAGUGUACCCGAAGAAAAAGCAUAGGCUAACUCCGUGCCAGCAGCAGCGGUAAUACGGAGGAUGCGAGCGUUAUCCGGAUUUAUUGGGUGUAAAGGGUGCGCAGGCGGACAGUAAAGUCAGCGGUAAAAAUGCGGGGCUUGACGCCGGACAGCCGUUGAAACUGGAAGUCUUGAGUGGGCGAGAAGUAUGCGGAAUGCGUGGUGUAGCGGUGAAAUGCAUAGAUAUCACGCAGAACUCCGAUUGCGAAGGCAGCAUACCGGCGCUCUACUGACGCUGAGGCACGAAAGCGUGGGUAUCGAACAGGAUUAGAUACCCGGGUAGUC